rnacentral:rRNA from 1 species
AUUGAACGCUGGCGGCAUGCUUUACACAUGCAAGUCGAACGGCAGCACGGGUGCUUGCACCUGGUGGCGAGUGGCGAACGGGUGAGUAAUGCAUCGGAACGUGCCCAUGAGUGGGGGAUAGCCCGGCGAAAGCCGGAUUAAUACCGCAUACGCCCUUAGGGGGAAAGCGGGGGAUCUUCGGACCUCGCGCUAUUGGAGCGGCCGAUGUCGGAUUAGCUAGUAGGUGAGGUAAAGGCUCACCUAGGCGACGAUCCGUAGCUGGUCUGAGAGGAUGAUCAGCCACACUGGGACUGAGACACGGCCCAGACUCCUACGGGAGGCAGCAGUGGGGAAUUUUGGACAAUGGGCGCAAGCCUGAUCCAGCCAUGCCGC